AUACAUACCUGGGCGGGGUCGAUAGAUGAUCAGGAGGGUCAAUGGCCUAGGAAGGCCACCUCCAUUCCACUUUGUAGGGGGUCUACCUAGCAUCUCACAUUGAAAUCAAACUAUUUACAAUUUCUAUUAACUAAUUACUUUAAAUCAUUGGUAAUUAC
rnacentral:snRNA from 9 species